rnacentral:rRNA from 1 species
UACGUAGGGGGCAAGCGUUGUCCGGAUUUAUUGGGCGUAAAGAGCGUGCAGGCGGCCAUGCAGGUCCGUUGUGAAAACUCGAGGCUCAACCUCGAGACGCCGAUGGAAACCGCAUGGCUAGAGUCCGGAAGAGGAGAGUGGAAUUCCUGGUGUAGCGGUGAAAUGCGCAGAUAUCGGGAGGAACACCGGUGGCGAAGGCGGUUCUCUGGGCCUUACCUGACGCUGAGGAGCGAAAGCGUGGGGAGCGAACAGG